CAGCCAUAUUUCAUUCUUCUCAAGUCAUUACGCGUCAUUAGUCAAACGUUUUCAGUUGCAGUGUAACUGUAAGCCCAGGAUGUGUUGUUGUGUUGUAAUAUAGUUUGCAUAGGGAUUGAGCUACUGUUUUGUCCAUUAUUUAGGGCAAGGUGUAUCAACCAGGUGAACCAGCACUAAUAACUUAAAUCAUCUGGCCUCAACCUCAACAGGUGUCACAUCUUAAAAAAUUUGAUUCCAGACAAAUCAUAUUCCAUCUUUGACUAAAAGAUCACUGACUAUUAUUGGCAAAAAUACAUAAAAGAUGACAACAUCAAAAUGUGAUUUAUGCCUUCAAGAUUAUGAUUUUAUGAAACGGAGGCCCAAAUUUUUAAUGUGCUUCCAUUCAUUCUGCCUUGAAUGCCUACAAAAGCACCAGAAGACAAAAACAGUCAUAAAUUGUCCAACUUGCUUAGAAGCUACUAACGUCAACUCGCAAUCGCUGGAUGAAGCGCUCAAGACAAAUUUCUACAUAUUAGAUCAAAUGAAGGACCCAAGCGCUUCGUCAGCUAUCGGGUCAUCAAAUGAAAAAGUUGAGACAGGCAGCUAUUAUUGGUGUUCUUCUUGCUACGUGACUUUUAAAAAAGGAGCAGAUAGUCAUCCUGAGAAUCACGAAACCUAUAAUUUGGACACUGAAGAUGGGAGAGAAAUAGCUGAGAUACACCUUAAGACGCUGUUAGUCACGUGCAAGAGUCAGUGGAAUGGUGCGCUUAGCAAACAUCAAGAGGCCGAUUCGGCUUUGAAGGCCGCUGAGACUGCACUUCAAGCCUUAGAGCAACAAAUACGUAAUCGACGAAAAAAAAAUGAUUGGCAAAUGGAAAAACUUGCAAAUACUUUAUCGGAAGUAGCCGUUCACCUGAAUGACCAGCAACGAACUUCCGAAAAACUUCACAAUUUAUUUCAGUUGUAUAAUAAAUUAAUUGUUGAAUCGAAAGCCAAGGCCGUUAAAACUGGGAAUAAGUUGGCCGCUUUUUCUUCUUUGAAAAACGCCGUUGUCUCUAUGGAUAUUAAGACUUCCAAGGGAGAAAAGUUUGCCGCCCCUCUUUUUGAUUCAGCUCUGAUCAAUUUUCCUUCGGAAGCUGCCAGCAGUUACGAUUCAUACCUUUUAACUACUCUGGCCUUUUUGGCCCUAUCUGGUAACCAAGACGGACAACGGACUAACUCUGCCCACUGUACCGAUCAGGAACUAAAGAAGAAUACGAACAAGGCGGAAAUCGCAUCGAAAGAAAGAAAGAAUCCGCCAGUGGCUAGAACCGAAGCUGAAUCAAGUAAAUCAAAGAACCAAUCAACUGGAAGAAAUGGCAGGGGAGAACGAAACUCGUUGCCAGAAGCAAAAACGUCCAAUUUUGUUCGAAAUCAUGAUUCCAGUCAUCCCGUAGAGAAACCUAUUAGGAAACUGCAGCCAAAUGUUCGUCCUCCCAAGCAAGAUGAUUCUGUAUCCCGAAAUUCAGUUCGCCGCACGGAAAAACCACAUGGGAAUACUUGUCUCGUCCCAUCUAUACCGAUACAGCCGCUUUUCAAUAAAAAGGCCUUCUUUGUUCUAGCCGUCAACGGUAAAGAAUACGGUAGUGUCGUAAUUGAACUUCGACCAGAUGUUGCCCCGGUUAUGUGCCAGAGAUUCGUCGCAAGUUGUCUGGCGAAAAGCGCAGUCUCGUAUCAAGGGACUAUCAUUUACGAUGCUAAACCAAAGACGUACAUAAUGGGUGGCAGAGUACCGGGACCCGAAACACUGUACAUGGCAGAUGCGUCUCCGUUGAAGAAAAUACGAGAUAUUUUCUGCUGAGCUGCAAAUAUGGUAUGGAAGGCGGAUUUUUCCACUCUAAAGCCCCAGUGGAUGGCAACAGGAGCUGUUGAAGAAGGAACUACGUGGUGCGUUGGGGUAGUAAAACAAAAAGGAAAUUUGUUUGCUAGGUUAUGCAAUGCACCCAAGCUCUUCUCGAUUUCCUUCAUCGCCCAGCUCUAUUUUAUGCUUGGAAUAAGGUCACCGACUCACCGACACCGCAUACAUGGAUUUGUCACUUAUUUCAAGAUCCUUUUGGACUUUGCUGCGCGAAAUUUGAAACAGAUUGGAUGCAGUAAUGGUCAACAAAGGCUGCCCAGUUCUAUUUUAA
rnacentral:misc_RNA from 1 species